GCCCUCGGUGGCUCAGAUGGAUAGAGCUUCUGCCCUGUCAGCAGGAGAUCCCAGGUUCGAGUCCUGGUCAGGGCA
rnacentral:tRNA from 1 species